UAGUCCACGCUGUAAACGAUGGAUACUAGCUGUUGGUUUCAUUUCGGUGGAAUCAGUGGCCAAGCAAAAGUGAUAAGUAUCCCACCUGGGGAGUACGUUCGCAAGAAUGAAACUCAAAGGAAUUGACGGGGGGCCCGCACAAGCGGUGGAGCAUGUGGUUUAAUUCGAUGAUACGCGAGGAACCUUACCAGGGCUUAAAUGUAGGAUGCAUUAGACAGAGAUGUUUAUUUCUUCGGACUUCUUACAAGGUGCUGCAUGGUUGUCGUCAGCUCGUGCCGUGAGGUGUCAGGUUAAGUCCUAUAACGAGCGCAACCCCUAUCGUUAGUUGCUAGCAGGUCAAGCUGAGGACUCUAGCGAGACUGCCGGUGCAAACCGUGAGGAAGGUGGGGGAUGACGUCAAAUCAUCACGGCCCUUAUGUCCUGGGGCUACACACGUGCUACAAUGGUAGGUACA
rnacentral:rRNA from 1 species